rnacentral:rRNA from 1 species
AUUGAACGCUGGCGGCAGGCCUAACACAUGCAAGUCGAACGAGUGGCGGACGGGUGAGUAAUGUCUGGGAAACUGGCUGAUGGAGGGGGAUAACUACUGGAAACGGUAGCUAAUACCGCAUACCAUCAGAUGUGCCCAGAUGGGAUGAGCUAGUUGGUGGGGUAACGGCUCACCACGGCGACGUCCCCUAGCUGGUCUGAGAGGAUGACCAGUCACGCGGGAACUGAGACGCGGUCCAGAAUACUACGGGAGGCAGCAGUGGGGAAUAUUGCACAAUGGGCGCAAGCCUGAUGCAGCCAUGCCGCGUGUAUGAAGAAGGCCGUCGGGUUGUAAAGUACUUUCAGCGGGGAGGCGUUACCCGCAGAAGAAGCACCGGCGAACUCCGUGCCAGCAGCCGCGGUAAUAG